GAUGAACGCUAGCUACAGGCUUAACACAUGCAAGUCGAGGGGUAACGAGAGGAAAGCUUGCUUUCCUUGUCGACGACCGGCGCACGGGUGAGUAUCGCGUAUGCAACCUGCCCCAAACUAGGGAAUCACCUCGCGAAAGUAAGACUAAUACCGUAUAAGUUCCUCAGAUGACAUCUGACGAGGACUAAAGAUUGAUCGGUUGUGGAUGGGGAUGAGUCUGAUUAGCUUGUUGUGGGGGUAACGGCCCACCAAGGCAACGAUCAGUAGGGGUUCUGAGAGGAAGGUCCCCCAAAUUGGAACUGAGACACGGUCCAAACUCCUACGGGAGGCAGCAGUGAGGAAUAUUGGUCAAUGGGCGGAAGCCUGAACCAGCCAAGUAGCGUGCAGGAUGACGGCCCUAGGGGUUGUAAACUGCUUUUAUACAGGAAUAAAGUUAGCCACGGGUGGCUAUUUGUAGGUACUGUAUGAAUAAGGACCGGCUAAUUCCGUGCCAGCCGCCGCAGUAA
rnacentral:rRNA from 1 species